UCCCUGGUAUCUUAGGCGGUAAAGAAUCUGCCUGCAACACAGGAGAGCCAGGUUCGAUCUCUGGGUCAGGAAG
rfam:Ovis aries breed Texel chromosome 4, whole genome shotgun sequence.